CGCCUCUUGUAAUUUAAAAAUAAGAGGUCCCGCCUGCCCAGUGACACUAAGUUCAACGGCCGCGGUAUUUUGACCGUGCAAAGGUAGCGCAAUCACUUGUCUUUUAAAUGAAGACCCGUAUGAAUGGCAUAACGAGGGCUUAACUGUCUCCUUUUUCAAGUCAAUGAAAUUGAUCUCCCCGUGCAGAAGCGAGGAUAACAACAUAAGACGAGAAGACCCUAUGGAGCUUUAGACACCAGAGUAGCCCUUGUCAAACACCCCCAGUAAAAGGGCAAAACCAAAAGGACCCUACUCCCCUGUCUUUGGUUGGGGCGACCGCGGGGAAUACAAAACCCCCAUGUGGAAUGGGAGAACCCCUCCUGAAACCAAGAGCCACGGCUCUAAGCAGUAGAACAUCUAACCAAAAGAUCCGGCAUGGCCGAUCAACGCUCGAUG
rnacentral:rRNA from 1 species